rnacentral:lncRNA from 1 species
AUAAGACCCAGAGAUGAUCCAGAACUAUUCAAGCAUGUUUACAUUUACAAGGGAGGACAGGAGGAGACCCUGUGCCCCAGAAUACAAGUGGAAGCCUAGAACAUGUUUCGAAGACUCGCCAUCUUCUUUCUGGGCAAGGCACUUCACAUCAGCACUUGAGAGGCAGUGGCAGAGGACUGCCUUCAUCUCCACCUUGGAUUACAUAGUGAAUGGGCACCCAGACCCCAGACUCUCACCUUGGACCAUUGCCUAGGUAGAAAUAAGACACCAGAGAGCUCCCUGCCAUGUUCCAGGCCUUCUCAGUAGAACAAAGCUGUACAUUCCCAAGUCAUCUGUGGCAGAGGGGUCACAAAGUCUGUUUCCCUGCUGAUGAGGCAAAGAGGGCCUGGGAUCCAAGCACACAGGAGCAAGAAGCAGGAGGUUUUCAA